rnacentral:rRNA from 1 species
GAUGAACGCUAGCUACAGGCUUAACACAUGCAAGUCGAGGGGUAACGAGAGGAAAGCUUGCUUUCCUUGUCGACGACCGGCGCACGGGUGAGUAACGCGUAUCCAACCUGCCCCCAACUAGGGAAUAACCUUGCGAAAGUAAGACUAAUACCCUAUAAUUUCCUCAGAUGUCUUCGGACGAGGAAUAAAGAUUUAUCGGUUGUGGAUGGGGAUGCGUCUGAGUAGCUUGUUGGCGGGGUAACGGCCCAACAAGGCAACGAUCAGUAGGGGUUCUGAGAGGACGGGCCCCCACAGUGGAACUGAGACACGGUCCACACUCCGACGGGGAGCAGCAGUGAGGAAUAGUGGUCAAUGGGCGGAAGCCUGAACCAGCCAAGGAGAGUGCAGGAUGACCGCCCUAUGGGUUGUAAACUGCUUUUAUACAGGAAUAAAGUUAGCCACGUGUGGUUAUUUGUAGGUACUGUAUGAAUAAGGACCGGCUAAUUCCGUGCCAGCCGCCGCAGUAA